CCGAGCAAUUUUGGGGCGCCCGGUCGUAGACGCUCUCAGAUCCCGUCCCCUGGCUAAGCAUCUCGGACACUUGCGAGGCCACUCCCAACCUACUUGGCUGUAGAUGCCCUGAGCAGCCGCCGGGCUAUCAUUGCCAGUAUACAGUGCAUAGAACUUAGAUUUUUAGCAUAAAAAUCAAGAGAUAUUUGUUGCCAUGGAUUGGAAGGUGAAAGGGAUGGGUGAUGGCUACUGCCAUUACUACCACAUCCGCCACCUAUUUCUUCUUGCUUUGCUUGCACGCCUGCAACACCAAUUCCUUUAGCUUCCACUUUCGCCUUUCGACCCGUAUGACGUUCUGCUACUCCAAGAGGAUGGUGAAGAACUGAAGAUUCAUGCCCCUUAAGAGCAGACAGGAAGAAGGUUCUGCCUCACCAAGAAGCGAGGUUGUGGUGUUGCUGGAUGCAAUGGUGCCGUGGAGAAUGGAGGCGCGGCUGGCGGCCACGGUGCGGGCGGCGCUCCUCGGCUGGCUCUUCUUCUGCCUCACCGUCGCCAACGACGUCGCACGCCAACUCAGAAGCAGUGAUCUCUCCGUCUAAGGCCAGCCACGUUCGACUUCGCCGGUGGCAAAGAACAGCGUCUACGAAGUGCCACUCCAUCUGGUGCACGGGAGGAAGAUUUAUUUACAGCAGGGUAACCAAAUGGGAUUUUGCAGUGUGUUCAACCCGCGGUUAGGCCCCGUUUGAUAGCAAAGUAUUUUCUAAAUAUUUUGGAAAUACUACAGUUUUUGAGAUUA